rnacentral:rRNA from 1 species
AGAGUUUGAUCCUGGCUCAGAUUGAACGCUGGCGGCAUGCCUUACACAUGCAAGUCGAGCGGCAGCGCGGGGGCAACCCUGGCGGCGAGCGGCGUACGGGUGAGUAAUGCAUCGGAACGUGUCCUCUUGUGGGGGAUAACCAGUCGAAAGACUGGCUAAUACCGCAUGAGAUCGAGAGAUGAAAGCAGGGGACCCGCAAGGGCCUUGCGCGAGAGGGGCGGCCGAUGCCCGAUUAGCUAGUUGGCGGGGUAAAGGCUCACCAAGGCGAUGAUCGGUAGCUGGUCUGAGAGGAUGAUCAGCCACACUGGGACUGAGACACGGCCCANACUCCUACGGGAGGCAGCAGUGGGGAAUUUUGGACAAUGGGGGCAACCCUGAUCCAGCCAUUCCGCGUGAGUGAAGAAGGCCUUCGGGUUGUAAAGCUCUUUUGUCCGGAACGAAACGGGUAACGUGAAUAUCGUUGCCUACUGACGGUACCGGAAGAAUAAGCACCGGCUAACUACGUGCCAGCAGCCGCGGUAAUACGUAGGGUGCGAGCGUUAAUCGGAAUUACUGGGCGUAAAGCGUGCGCAGGCGGUUUUGUAAGCCAGAUGUGAAAUCCCCGGGCUUAACCUGGGAAUGGCAUUUGGGACUGCAAGGCUCGAGUGCGGCAGAGGAGACUGGAA